CCUACGGGUGGCUGCAGUGGGGAAUAUUGGACAAUGGGCGAAAGCCUGAUCCAGCCAUGCCGCGUGUGUGAAGAAGGCCUUCGGGUUGUAAAGCACUUUCAGUGGGGAAGAAAGCCUUGGGGCUAAUACCCUCGAGGAAGGACAUCACCCACAGAAGAAGCACCGGCUAACUCCGUGCCAGCAGCCGCGGUAAUACGGAGGGUGCGAGCGUUAAUCGGAAUUACUGGGCGUAAAGCGCGCGUAGGCGGUCUGAUAAGCCGGUUGUGAAAGCCCCGGGCUCAACCUGGGAACGACAUCCGGAACUGUCAGGCUAGAGUGCAGGAGAGGAAGGUAGAAUUCCCGGUGUAGCGGUGAAAUGCGUAGAGAUCGGGAGGAAUACCAGUGGCGAAGGCGGCCUUCUGGACUGACACUGACGCUGAGGUGCGAAAGCGUGGGUAGCAAACAGGAUUAGAUACCCUUGUAGUC
rnacentral:rRNA from 1 species